rnacentral:rRNA from 1 species
CCUACGGGAGGCAGCAGUGAGGAAUAUUGGUCAAUGGGCGAGAGCUUGAACCAGCCAAGUCGCGUGAGGGAGUACUGCCCUAUGGGUUGUAAACCUCUUUUGUCGGGGAGCAAAAGCCGGACGUGUCCGGCUGUGAGAGUACCCGAAGAAAAAGCAUCGGCAAACCCCGUGCCAGCAGCCGCGGUAAUACGGGGGAUGCGAGCGUUACCCGGAUUUAUUGGGUUUAAAGGGUGCGCAGGCGGAUUUUUAAGUUAGCGGUCAAAUCGUGGGGCUCAACCCCAUCCAGCCGUUGAAACUGGGGGUCUAGAGUGUGCGAGAGGUAUGCGGAAUGCGUGGUGUAGCGGUGAAAUGCAUAGAUAUCACGCAGAACCCCGAUUGCGAAGGCAGCAUACCGGUGCACAACUGACGCUCAGGCACGAAAGCGUGGGUAUCGAACAGGAUUAGAUACCCUUGUAGUC